rnacentral:rRNA from 1 species
GAUGAACGCUGGCGGCGUGCCUAAUACAUGCAAGUCGAGCGAACAGAUGAGGAGCUUGCUCCACUGACGUUAGCGGCGGACGGGUGAGUAACACGUGGAUAACCUACCUAUAAGACUGGGAUAACUUCGGGAAACCGGAGCUAAUACCGGAUAAUAUAUUGAACCGCAUGGUUCAAUAGUGAAAGACGGUUUUGCUGUCACUUAUAGAUGGAUCCGCGCCGCAUUAGCUAGUUGGUAAGGUAACGGCUUACCAAGGCAACGAUGCGUAGCCGACCUGAGAGGGUGAUCGGCCACACUGGAACUGAGACACGGUCCAGACUCCUACGGGAGGCAGCAGUAGGGAAGCUUCGCAGAUGGGCGGAAGCCUGACGGAGCAACGCCGCGUGAGUGAAGAAGGUCUUCGGAUCGUAAAACUCUGUUAUUAGGGAAGAACAAAUGUGGCAGUAACUAUGCACGUCUUGACGGUACCUAAUCAGAAAGCAACGGCUAACUACGUG